UGCUUAACAUGCAAGUCGAACGGUGAAAGCGGAGCUUGCUCCGCCGGAUCAGUGGCGAACGGGUGAGUAACACGUGAGCAAUCUGCCCCAGACUCUGGGAUAAGCGCUGGAAACGGCGUCUAAUACCGGAUACGAGCUACGAAGGCAUCUUCAGUAGCUGGAAAGAAUUUCGGUCUGGGAUGAGCUCGCGGCCUAUCAGCUUGUUGGUGAGGUAACGGCUCACCAAGGCGUCGACGGGUAGCCGGCCUGAGAGGGUGACCGGCCACACUGGGACUGAGACACGGCCCAGACUCCUACGGGAGGCAGCAGUGGGGAAUAUUGCACAAUGGGCGCAAACCUGAAGCAGCAACGCCGCGUGAAGGGACGACGGCCUUCGGGUUGUAAACCUCUUUUAGCAGGGAAGAAGCCUUCGGGUGACGGUACCUGCAGAAAAAGCACCGGCUAACUACGUGCCAGCAGCCGCGGUAAUACGUAGGGUGCAAGCGUUAUCCGGAAUUAUUGGGCGUAAAGAGCUCGUAGGCGGUCUGUCGCGUCUGCUGUGAAAACCCGAGGCUCAACCUCGGGCCUGCAGUGGGUACGGGCAGACUAAAGUGCGGUAGGGGAGAUUGGAAUUCCUGGUGUACCGGUGGAAUGCGCAGAUAUCAGGAGGAACACCGAUGGCGAAGGCAGAUCUCUGGGCCGUAACUGACGCUGAGGAGCGAAAGGGUGGGGAGCAAACAGGCUUAGAUACCCUGGUAGUCCACCCCGUAAACGUUGGGAACUAGUUGUGGGGUCCAUUCCACGGAUUCCGUGACGCAGCUAACGCAUUAAGUUCCCCGCCUGGGGAGUACGGCCGCAAGGCUAAAACUCAAAGGAAUUGACGGGGACCCGCACAAGCGGCGGAGCAUGCGGAUUAAUUCGAUGCAACGCGAAGAACCUUACCAAGGCUUGACAUAUACGAGAACGGGCCAGAAAUGGUCAACUCUUUGGACACUCGUAAACAGGUGGUGCAUGGUUGUCGUCAGCUCGUGUCGUGAGAUGUUGGGUUAAGUCCCGCAACGAGCGCAACCCUCGUUCUAUGUUGCCAGCACGUAAUGGUGGGAACUCAUGGGAUACUGCCGGGGUCAACUCGGAGGAAGGUGGGGAUGACGUCAAAUCAUCAUGCCCCUUAUGUCUUGGGCUUCACGCAUGCUACAAUGGCCGGUACAAAGGGCUGCAAUACCGCGAGGUGGAGCGAAUCCCAAAAAGCCGGUCCCAGUUCGGAUUGAGGUCUGCAACUCGACCUCAUGAAGUCGGAGUCGCUAGUAAUCGCAGAUCAGCAACGCUGCGGUGAAUACGUUCCCGGGUCUUGUACACACCGCCCGUCAAGUCAUGAAAGUCGGUAACACCUGAAGCCGGUGGCCCAACCUUUGGAGGAGCCGUCGAA
rnacentral:rRNA from 1 species